rnacentral:rRNA from 1 species
GCGAUCAUAUUAGCAUCAAUAUACCGAAUCUCAUCAGAACUUCAAAGUUAAACGUGCUUGGGUAAGAACAGUACUAGGAUGGGUGACCUCCUGGGAAGUCCUCGUGUUGCAUUU